GACGAACGCUGGCGGCGUGCUUAACACAUGCAAGUCGAACGAAGAGCGAUGGAAGCUUGCUUCUAUCAAUCUUAGUGGCGAACGGGUGAGUAACGCGUAAUCAACCUGCCCUUCAGAGGGGGACAACAGUUGGAAACGACUGCUAAUACCGCAUACGAUCUGUCCUCGGCAUCGAGGAUAGAUGAAAGGUGGCCUCUACAUGUAAGCUAUCACUGAAGGUGGGGAUUGCGUCUGUUUAGUUAGGUGGAGGGGUAACGGCGCUCCAAGGCGAUGAUCAGUAGCCGGACUGAGAGGAUGAGUGGCCACAGUGGGAGGGAGACAGGGCCCAGAGUCCUACGGGAGCGAGCAGGAGGGAAUCUUCCGGAAGGGACGAAAGUCUGACGGAGCAACGCCGCGUGAGGGAUGACGGACGUCGGGUUGUGAAGGUCGGUUAAUCGGGACGAAAGGGCUUUUUGCGAAUAGGGAGAAGGAUUGACGGUACCGGAAGAGAAAGCCACGGCUAACUACGUG
rnacentral:rRNA from 1 species